rnacentral:rRNA from 1 species
AUUAACGCUAGCGGCAGGCAUAAUACAUGCAAGUUGAACGGCAGCACAGGUAGCAAUACCGGGUGGCGAGUGGCGCACGGGUGCGUAACACGUAUGCAACCUACCCUAUACAGGCGAAUAACCUUUAGAAAUGAGGGCUAAUACGCCGUGGUAUUAUCUUGGGGCAUCUUGAGAUAAUUAAAGAUUUAUCGGUAUAGGAUGGGCAUGCGUCCCAUUAGUUAGUUGGUAGGGUAACGGCCCACCAAGGCGACGAUGGGUAGCCG